UCUUUCUGUUCUGUAUUAUUGAAAAAAUGCCAUGUUCUAAGUUUCUGCUUUAUAGAAAUCAUAGAGCUUGAAAAGGGUAAUCAUUAUAGUAGUGUAGAAUCCUUUGAUAUGGUGAUACUUAUAUUAGUAAUCCACGAGUUUUGUUCAGUAGAGAAAACUCUGUGUGUGUGUGUGUUUUAAGCUAGUUUUCCAUUGAUUCUGAACAGGCACCUGCUCAAGGUGAGGUGUCUUUACAUGAAUGCUUGAUUCUUGUUCAAAUCUUUGUUUCUGUUCUCUAUUAUUAAACAGUGAGAUGCUCUAAGUUUCUGCUUAAUAGAAACCAUAGACCUUUGUGUGUGUGUGUGUUUGAGGUAGUUUUCCAUUAAACAGUGAGAUGCGACCUUGAUAAGGGUUUGGAAAUCUAUUAUUAAACAGUGAGAAUGCUCUGUCCACGAGUUGUGUUAAGCUUUUCUCCAUUGAUUGUGAACAGGCACCUGCAGCUGAUGACGAUGAUGACAUAUCUGUUUGGUGACGAGAGUGAGGAGGAAAAAAGAACUGCAGAGGAGAGUGAGGCUGCUAAGAAGGACACCAAGAAGCCCAAAGAGACAAACCUGGUUCCAGUUGGUUACAGUAUCAAGAAGCUCGCGAGCAUCAACUAUACACCAAGCUCGAAUGACAAAAGCUGAGAAGUAUUAUUUCUUCAACAGAUCAAUACACAAGCUUUUCAAAAAAUUGUAUGAUUAACGGAUGUAACAUAUCAAAUAUACAUUUGUUGAAAUGUUUAUUUUUGGCUUAUUAUGUAUCAAAUCUCAGUAUCUCAUCCAAACACGUUUCUGAUGCAGAGUUUUUACUAG